rnacentral:rRNA from 1 species
GAAAGAUGAAAAGCACUUUGAAAAGAGAGUCAAACAGUACGUGAAAUUGUUGGAAGGGAAACGCUUAAAGUCAGUCGCGUGACUUGAGAUUCAGCUCUUUAUGAGUGCAUUUCUCAUUAUUAACACGAGCCAGAAUGAAUUUUGACCUGUGGAGAAAGGCUGAGAGGAAAUACUUCACUGGAAGCCCGCUCUCGAAGGAAGUACUUCUUUGGAGUCCUAUCGAGGGGAAGCUACUACUUUGGAGUCCUCUCUGGUUAAACAUGGGUUAAGAUUGAGGAUAGCAGCACUGUCUAUGACAACGGGGUACGCCCACGUUAAUGUGCUUGGGAUUCUGGCAUAAUGGCUUUAAGCGACCCGUCUUGAAACACGGACCAAGGAGUCUAACAGGCUCGCGAGUAGUUGAGUGUUUAAAACUCAAAUGCGCAAUGAAAGUGAUGAGAUUGGGACCUCUAUUGUUGGGAGGGCACCGAUGCCCAGACCAGAACCAUGAUUGGUGACGGAUCUGAGGUAGAGCGAGUCUGUUGGGACCCGAAAGAUGGUGAACUAUGCCUGAAUAGGGUGAAGCCAGAGGAAACUCUGGUGGAAGCUCGUAGCGAUUCUGACGUGCAAAUCGAUCGUCAAAUUUGGGUAUAGGGGCGAAAGACUAAUCGAACCAUCUAGUAGCUGGUUCCUGCCGAAGUUUCCCUCAGGAUAGCAGAAGCUUGUGAUUCAGAUUUAUGUGGUAAAGCGAAUGAUUAGAGGCCUUGGGGUUGAAAUGACCUUAACCUAUUCUCAAACUUUAAAUAUGUAAGAACAAGUCGUCACUUGAUUGGACGUCUUGGUGAAUGAGAGCUUCUAGUGGGCCAUUUUUGGUAAGCAGAACUGGCGAUGCGGGAUGAACCGAUCGCGGGGUUAAGGUGCCGGAAUGCACGCUCAUCAGACACCACAAAAGGUGUUAGUUCAUCUAGACAGCAGGACGGUGGCCAUGGAAGUUGGAAUCCGCUAAGGAGUGUGUAACAACUCACCUGCCGAAUGAACUAGCCCUGAAAAUGGAUGGCGCUCAAGCGUGCUACCCAUACCCCGCUGUCAGUGUUAGCCAUGUGCACUGACAAGUAGGCAGGCGUGGAGGUUUGUUUAGAAGCCUUGGCAGUAAUGCUGGGUGGAACAACCUCUAG